CGGCGGACGGGUGAGUACACGUGGGUAACCUGCCUGUAAGACUGGGAUAACUCCGGGAAACCGGGGCUAAUACCGGAUGCUUGAUUGAACCGCAUGGUUCAAUCAUAAAAGGUGGCUUUUAGCUACCACUUACAGAUGGACCCGCGGCGCAUUAGCUAGUUGGUGAGGUAACGGCUCACCAAGGCGACGAUGCGUAGCCGACCUGAGAGGGUGAUCGGCCACACUGGGACUGAGACACGGCCCAGACUCCUACGGGAGGCAGC
rnacentral:rRNA from 1 species